UGAGGGAUAUUGGUCAAUGGGGGCAACCCUGAACCAGCGACGCCGCGUGGGUGAUGAAGGCCUUCGGGUCGUAAAACCCUUUUGCCACUGACGAGGAAGGACGGUAGGUGGCGAAUAAGCCUCGGCUAACUACGUGCCAGCAGCCGCGGUAAAACGUAGGAGGCGAGCGUUAUCCGGAGUUACUGGGCGUAAAGCGCGUGUAGGUGGUUGCGCAAGUUGCGUGUGAAAGCGCCCGGCUAAACUGGGCGAGGACAGGCAAGACUGCGCGGCUAGAGGGUGAUAGAGGGGCGUGGAAUUCCGGGUGUAGCGGUGAAAUGUGCAGAGAUCCGGAGGAACACCAGUGGUGGAGACGGCGCCCUGGGUCACAACUGACACUGAGACGCGAAAGCGUGGGGAGCGAACGGGAUUAGAGACCCCGGUAGUCCACGCGGUAAACGAUGCAUACUGGGUGUCCACUCCCGCAAGGGAGGGGGUGCCGCAGCCAACGCGCUAAGUAUGCCGCCUGGGGGA
rnacentral:rRNA from 1 species